UACGUAGGAGGCAAGCGUUGUCCGGAAUUACUGGGUGUAAAGCGCGUGUAGGCGGCAGGCCAAGUCUGUGGUGAAAUCGCUCGGCUCAACUGGGCGGGGUCCAUGGAAACUGGUCAGCUGGAGGACGGUAGAGGUGAGUGGAAUUCCCGGUGUAGUGGUGAAAUGCGUAGAGAUCUGGAGGAAUACCAGAGGCGAAGGCGGCUUGCUGGGGUGGAAUUGACGCUCAGACACGAAAGCAUGGGGAGCGAACGGG
rnacentral:rRNA from 1 species